rnacentral:lncRNA from 1 species
UGAAGCUGUACUCAUCACUGGGAGCUGGAUUUAAACUAUCAAGUUGUAGAUAUGAAAAAUUAAAGAAAACAAAAAUAAGUGAUCUUGAUCUUAUCUGUUUUCUUCCUGCUCUGCAGCCUGUGGGAAGCACACAGGCUGAACUGAACUGAAAUGUUAGGUCUUCAGAAAUAAAGGAAAUAUUACUAAUAAAAAAUGGCAAUAGGAGCAGCAUGCUUCCUCAGCAACAUCUUGCCUCUCCUAUAAAGGUGUGACUGCCUAGAAGGCUGUCUGUUACCUCCGGCAACCACCGUGUCCAAGGCCGCACCGCCAGGGGGCUAGCAAUCAGCAUUUGCUAGGGCCAUAGCAACACUGACACCAAUAUGAUGGAGAAGCAAAUGGCAAUUUAUUAAGGCACGACAACCCCUUAAAUACACAUCCCGUUUCGCCUAAGCCCCUUAAACAUGCAUCACGUGUUACUCACACCUUACUCACAGAGCGAGGGAGGUCCUAUCGUGUCACAACCUGAUACCCCGUUAUCGCUUACUACAACACAGCAGGGGGUCCUAUCGCGUCACAAUCUGAUACCUCGUUAGCACCUACUGCAACAGCUGUCAAAAUAGCCUGUGCUGUCUUACAGUGACCUGGAUACCGUUUAUGAUGAAGCUGGCCCAGCAAGAGAUCUGCACAGGACACAGCUUUUACUGCCAUCAGCUAGAUGUGUAGCACCUCUGUGAAAACUCAUUCAAGGAAUGCAGAUAAACACCAAAAAAGGAACUGCAAGACCAGGGAGUGGUAGAAUAGGCAAGGAAUCCCAAGGAACUGCACGGAUUGAGACUAAGACUGGGAAAGAAGAAGGAGAUGCAUUGGAAAACAUCCAUAGCCCCAAGACUGAAGUGAAGCAGACAACCAUUUCAGCCAAGACACUGCAGUCCUUCUGUGGAAAAAGCUCAACUCUGGAUUGCACAAGUGAUGAGGCAGCAGCAACUUGAAAAAAUGGAACAGUUGGGACUAUGUAUUCAUACCUGCAAUUGCCUCUGACAACUGGAAAACAAUGGUGAGAAUGAGGUAUAAAGCAGAUCUGGAAAAUUUUCAAGUCAGUUAGCUUACAGUAUUUUACAUAUC